GUUCUUCUUGCAGGGUUGCUGCCAGUAAGGCUGGGACUCAGAUGAGCUACUUUUAUGAAGAGCUUUGGCCGUGAAAGCUGACCUAGAGGCUGUCACCACACGUCCCAUCCCUGCCGGCAGCAGCAGCAUGACAGACAGAAACCUACUCUUCUGAAUGCUGCUCUGUGAUGCCAGAAUUGGGACUCUGCAAAGCACACGUGUCGGUCAGGAUUUAACCAGAGAAGAAGAACUGGAAGCUUCGGUGUAACUUUGAAGGGCUACCAAGAUCAUCCAGGAUCAUCUCCCUUACUUGCAGCCGACUGAUCAGGGUCUCUAGUUUCAUUUGCAUAAUCUCUUCAGAGUGACAUCUAAAUAAUAAUUCAGUUGAAUCGUUGGAAACUAUCACCUUUGCAAGUUUACAUGUGGAAAAAGCUAUCACGGUGCUAAGCUAUCCCCCUUAGCAAUUUGGCACCUACACACGUCUUCUUUUUUUUUUUUUUAACGUUUAUUUACUAUUGGGAGACAGAGCGACGCAAAGUGUGAGCAGGGGAGGGG